AUUGAACGCUGGCGGCAUGCCUUACACAUGCAAGUCGAACGGCAGCAUGGAGAGCUUGCUCUCUGAUGGCGAGUGGCGAACGGGUGAGUAAUGCAUCGGAACGUACCGUGUAAUGGGGGAUAACGUAGCGAAAGUUACGCUAAUACCGCAUACGACCUGAGGGUGAAAGCAGGGGAUCGCAAGACCUUGCGUUAUACGAGCGGCCGAUGUCAGAUUAGCUAGUUGGUGAGGUAAAGGCUCACCAAGGCGACGAUCUGUAGCGGGUCUGAGAGGAUGAUCCGCCACACUGGGACUGAGACACGGCCCAGACUCCGACGGGAGGCAGCAGUGGGGAAUAUUGGACAACGGGCGGAAGCAUGAUCCAGCCAUGCCGCGUGUGUGAAGAAGGCCUUUUGGUUGUAAAGCACUUUAAGCGAGGAGGAGGCUACCUGGAUUAAUACUCUGGGAUAGUGGACGUUACUCGCAGAAUAAGCACCGGCUAACUCUGUGCCAGCCGCCGCAGUAAGAC
rnacentral:rRNA from 1 species